rnacentral:rRNA from 1 species
UACGGAGGGGGCGAGCGUUAUUCGGAAUUAUUGGGCGUAAAGGGCGCGUAGGCGGCCCUGUAAGUCAAAGGUGAAAUCCCUCGGCUCAACUGAGGAACUGCCUUUGAAACUCCAGGGCUUGAGGCCGGGAGGGGGUAGCGGAAUUCCCAAUGUAGCGGUGAAAUGCGUAGAUAUUGGGAGGAACACCAGUGGUGAAGGCGGCUACCUGGACCGGUUCUGACGCUGAGGCGCGAAAGCGUGGGUAGCAAACAGG